UUGAGAUUUUAUAUUUUAUUUCAAUUAUUUAAAGUUCAUUUUGCGUUUAUUUACAUUAACCACAAGCGGACGAUUUACAUCCGAUGCGCAUUAUAGCAGUUAAAUGAAAGUUUGAAUACAUCCUUUUUCCGUUUGUAGUAAAGCUACAUACAAUCAGUCUCUUUAGCGCUGAAGAACAUCGGAAGGCUCAGGAUUCAACUUCCAGGUUUGUGACAUUCUGCCAUGUACCACGAAAAAGUCAGAGCAGAUUACAUAAAUUAUGUGGAAAAUGUUAAUCAAUGGUACGAAUAUUUCAAAGAAAUAAGCAAACCUCGUUCUUAUGAAAUGCUUCUGGAAUGGAAAACCGUAGCUUAUGUUUUUCGGUCAAUUGUUCAACUUUUCGAUCCAUAUAAUUGUUGCAAGAGCAGACUUUGACUUCAGAACUUGAUUCGAGUGCGACGUAAGGAGAGACAUUAAAAUGUCAGCAUGGUAGGCAUUCUAGUGCCUGGCUGCCUCAUGCAACAAGGGACACGCCUCAAAUGAUACAACUGUGUCCGCCUGAAUUUCGUUCUGAUUUCGGUUCUGAUGAAGUCAUCGCCGUCAGCCGUUUGCCCGACUGUUGACAGCCGAAGGACCAGAUCCGCAUGUCAAAAUAAGCUUUCUUUUUUUUUUCUAAUUAAUAAAAUUGUUUUAGUUUGGAUGUUAGUUUCGGAUCGAAAAAAAUUGUUUAA